CCCCAGGAGACCCCGCCCCUGAGCCAGGAGAUGUCUUGGGUUCCUGAUGCUGCCAUGGGCUCCAGCCUCCUCUUCUGUGUGGCUCUUUGUCUCCUGGGAGCAGGCCCAGCAGAUUCUGGAGUCAUUCAAACACCACGACACCUGAUCAAAGCAACAGGACAGCAAGUGACAAUGAGAUGUUCCCCUAUGGCUACACAUCUCUCUGUGUACUGGUACCAACAGGCCUACAGUCAGGGCCCCAAGUUCCUCUUUCAGUAUUACAAUGGAAAAGAGAACGAAAAAGGAGCCAUCCCGGCUCGAUUUGCAGGGCAACAGUUCCUUGACCAAAGCUCUGAGCUGAACGUGAGCAUCUUGGAACCGACGGACUCGGCCCUGUAUCUCUGUGCCAGCAGCUUGGCACAGCCCCGCAUGAUCAGCAGCCUCCAGUGCAAAAACCUUCCUGCCCCAGCUCAGGAAGUGACAGCGAGGGUGGCGGCUGCCAGUCAGACAGGCUCAGGCCCUCAUGUAUCAGACAUGAUACAGACAUCAGGCUUUUCCCAGACACUCUUACUGCUGCUUCUAUAUGUGAUAUGUUUUAUGCUCACAGAAAUUAUGCAAAAUAAGUAUUAUUUACCUGUUUUCAUAUGUGAGGGGAAGUAA